UACGUAGGGGGCAAGCGUUGUCCGGAUUUACUGGGCGUAAAGCGUGCGCAGGCGGCUAUGCAAGACAGAUGUGAAAUCCCCGGGCUCAACCUGGGAACUGCAUUUGUGACUGCAUAGCUAGAGUACGGUAGAGGGGGAUGGAAUUCCGCGUGUAGCAGUGAAAUGCGUAGAUAUGCGGAGGAACACCGAUGGCGAAGGCAAUCCCCUGGACCUGUACUGACGCUCAUGCACGAAAGCGUGGGGAGCAAACAGG
rnacentral:rRNA from 1 species